GAGUUUGAUCCUGGCUCAGGACGAACGCUGGCGGCGUGCUUAACACAUGCAAGUCGAACGGAAAGGCCCUUUUUUGGGGUGCUCGAGUGGCGAACGGGUGAGUAACACGUGGGUGACCUGCCCUGCACUUCGGGAUAAGCCUGGGAAACUGGGUCUAAUACCGGAUAGGACCAUUCUGCGCAUGUGGGGUGGUGGAAAGCGUUUGGUAGCGGUGUGGGAUGGGCCCGCGGCCUAUCAGCUUGUUGGUGGGGUGAUGGCCUACCAAGGCGACGACGGGUAGCCGGCCUGAGAGGGUGUCCGGCCACACUGGGACUGAGAUACGGCCCAGACUCCUACGGGAGGCAGCAGUGGGGAAUAUUGCACAAUGGGCGCAAGCCUGAUGCAGCGACGCCGCGUGGGGAUGACGGCCUUCGGGUUGUAAACCUCUUUCAGCCUCGACGAAGCUGCGGGUUUUCUCGUGGUGACGGUAGGGGCAGAAGAAGCACCGGCCAACUACGUGCCAGCAGCCGCGGUAAUACGUAGGGUGCAAGCGUUGUCCGGAAUUACUGGGCGUAAAGAGCUCGUAGGCGGCUUGUCGCGUUGUUCGUGGAAUGCCACAGCUUAACUGUGGGCGUGCGGGCGAUACGGGCAGGCUGGAGUGCUGCAGGGGAGACUGGAAUUCCUGGUGUAGCGGUGGAAUGCGCAGAUAUCAGGAGGAACACCGGUGGCGAAGGCGGGUCUCUGGGCAGUAACUGACGCUGAGGAGCGAAAGCGUGGGGAGCGAACAGGAUUAGAUACCCUGGUAGUCCACGCCGUAAACGGUGGGUACUAGGUGUGGGUUCUUUCCUGAAGGAUCCGUGCCGUAGCUAACGCAUUAAGUACCCCGCC
rnacentral:ncRNA from 1 species